UGGGCUUGUAGUGUGCAAUAUUUCUUCGUACAUGGUAACAUUUUAUGACACUGAGGCCAAACUACAGGAACUUGCGAGCGUAUACUAAUAUGGCGAGCCGACCACAAUGGCCUCUAUAGGGAUCCAUUUACUAAACAAAUAAGAAGUAACAGCAGCUACAAAGAUAUUAAGCACAUUUACGUGUGUUUUUUGUGCCAUCAGACAGAGUAAAUAGUCAUUUAAAUGUCAACAGAUCCUCUGCCUGCCCUUUUGUGUUGAUGCAUUACACAAUCUGUUGUGUAAUGCGUCAACAUUUCUGAGAAAUACAGGGUGGAUUCAAUUCUGUGCCUGUCUGCUCUUGUGUGGUAAGGAACUGCAACUAAAUCAGAAGGUUAAUCAGUACAUACAGUAUAUUUUCUGCACUAUGACCCCACAAUCAUCUGUCUGUCUGGACAAUACUGGGAGCAGCGAGGAGGAAGAAGUGGGGCGUGUCCCUGUGGUGCAGAUAUCUGGCGAGUGUCCUCUCAGUGGAAGAUCACUGCUGUAACAUUGUCCAGAGCCUCGACAGACACACAGGCUGCACUACCUGGAAGCUGCUCACUUCGACUCUAAUCAUGAGUAAAUAUGUUGUGGGCAACAAUUCAUGUUCAAAGGCUAAACAAGCUUACCGGCACAGUGCAAGGAGCGGAGCUCUGUCACUGGGGGCUGCACCGAUCUCCGGUCUGCUGCUGGGCGCUGAGAGCGGCUCAGCGGAGACUGGCGACAUUUACACCCUCCACCCAACAAAACUACACAGAGCAGACAGGGAGAAAGCGCCUUCUGGAGAGAGGCACUGAGGCUUGAGUCCUUGAAGGAGAGAGUUAACAUGGCCGCUGGGUGAUCACCGAUUUUAAUAUCUCUGUCUGCGGCUACACCUUUUGGCUUAUAACAGCUGCAAUUUCCAAGACACAUAUUUUUAACUAGCUGAAGCUCAAUUCAUAUUUGUAAACUGAUUCCGCUUUAUUAACUGUUAAAGAAGGAAUCCAGUCAAAAAUAGAACCCAAAGACAGCACUGUACUUCCAGUGUUUUGUUCAUAUUUGCAUAAAAUUAAAUCAUAUUAGCUUUUUGGCUGCCUUGUUUUCACAGCCAGCUUGCACACAGCCGAUUGUGAAAGUGUGAAAGCAUAAAACUGUCUUGACUUGAUAAGUCAGUGGCAGUUGUGCCAGCAUGAUUUGAGGAUGUAACCACAGGCUGCAGCGAGUAGUGUUAUAUGAAGAAGCUCCUUUAAGUAAAACCAGGGUGUACUGUAUGAGGGUUUUGUGUGAUGCCCUUGUGAUUUAAAACAGGUUUUUGUCAUUUUUAUUGUGUUGCCUCGCUGUGUUCAGCAGCUAGAAGAACAAUAGAAGGCCAUAAACUUGUUGUGUGCAGGUUUGUAUAACUUGUCUUGUUCCUGGGACUUCACUUUAUAAGAUGACACGGGCGUGUGUCUGGUUGCCCUUAACACA